UAGGGAAUCUUCCACAAUGGGCGGAAAGCCUGAUGGAGCAACGCCGCGUGUGUGAUGAAGGGUUUCGGCUCGUAAACACUGUUGUAAGAGAAGAAUGACAUUGAGAGUAACUGUUCAAUGUGUGACGGUAUCUUACCAGAAAGGAACGGCUAAAUACGUGCCAG
rnacentral:rRNA from 1 species